GAUGAACGCUGGCGGCGUGCCUAAUACAUGCAAGUCGAGCGAACAGACGAGGAUCUUGCUCCUCUGACGUUAGCGGCGGACGGGUGAGUAACACGUGGAUAACCUACCUAUAAGACUGGGAUAACUUCGGGAAACCGGAGCUAAUACCGGAUAAUAUAUUGAACCGCAUGGUUCAAUAGUGAAAGACGGUUUUGCUGUCACUUAUAGAUGGUUCCGCGCCGCAUUAGCUAGUUGGUAAGGUAACGGCUUACCAAGGCAACGAUGCGUAGCCGACCUGAGAGGGUGAUCGGCCACACUGGAACUGAGACACGGUCCAGACUCCUACGGGAGGCAGCAGUAGGGAAUCUUCCGCAAUGGGCGAAAGCUUGACGGAGCAACGCCGCGUGAGUGAUGAAGGUCUUCGGAUCGUAAAACUCUGUUAUUAGGGAAGAACAAAUGUGUAAGUAACUAUGCACGUCUUGACGGUACCUAAUCAGAAAGCCACGGCUAACUACGUG
rnacentral:rRNA from 1 species